ACGACCAUCUACUUUGUCGUGACAGUGAAAAGUGAAGGUCUUAAGUACUUGCUCGUACUGAUACUUAUUGAACUAACCAUAAACUACGAAGCGAUGAAUCUAUAUUUACCUUUUAGUGUCCCUAAAGGCUGUGAGCCACAUGAAUGUAGGACUCCUUCAGCUUAUGCCAUUUUUGUCGAUCUUGGGCAAUCUCUAUCCACUUCACGCCUGCUGUUCUCCUGAUGUCAUCAGACCAACGCAUUUGGGGUCUUCCCUUUGGGCAUACUUCGCCCCAUGGUAUUAGGAAUACAAAGGGUUAAAAAGUA